AAUGAGUACGUAUUUAAGUUUAAAACAGCCAAUUCCAUCUUUUUCAUGGAUUCUGCCAAUUAUAGAUCCUUCCAUUAUGAAGAAGAGUAAAGCCAGCAAGUUAACCAGAGCGCAAAGAAACAAGUAAUCUUGUCCUCAGGGACAGAAUUCAACGCCCUCAAAUCUCUCAUAUUGGGAAAGGUUUUAGAGGCUGCCGGCGCGGACCCAGACACAAGGCGGGCGGCGACUAGUGGCUUCACUGGCUGCCUCUCGGCGGUGCGCUUCGGCCAUGCUGCUCCCCUGAAGGCGGC
rnacentral:sRNA from 1 species